AACGAACGCUGGCGGCGUGCCUAACACAUGCAAGUCGAACGAGAAAGGGGCUUCGGCUCCGAGUAAAGUGGCGCACGGGUGAGUAACACGUGGGUAACCUGCCUCUAAGAUUGGGAUAACUCGUCGAAAGAUGAGCUAAUACCGGAUAAGACCACAGUUCCCGCGGGAACAGGGGUCAAAGGUAGCCUCUGCUUGCAAGCUAUCACUUAGAGAUGGGCCUGCGCACCAUUAGCUAGUUGGUAGGGUAACGGCCUACCAAGGCAAAGAUGGUUAGCUGGUCUGAGGGGAGGAUCAGCCAACGUGGAACUGAGACACGGUCCAGACUCCUGCGGGAGGCAGCAGGGGGGAAUAUUGCGCAAUGGGCGAAAGAUUGACGCAGCAACGCGGCGUGAGUGAUGAAGGCCUUCGGGUCGUAAAGCUCUGUCGGGGGGAACGAAUGCUCCCAAGGUUAACAGCCUCGGGAGGUGACGGUACCUUCAAAGGAAGCACCGGCUAACUCUGUGCCAGCAGCCGCCGUAAAAC
rnacentral:rRNA from 1 species